rnacentral:rRNA from 1 species
AUUGAACGCUGGCGGCAGGCCUAACACAUGCAAGUCGAACGAGUGGCGGACGGGUGAGUAAUGUAUGGGAAAAUGCCUGAUGGCGGGGGAUAACUACUGGAAACGGUAGCUAAUACCGCAUACCAUCAGAUGUGCCCAGAUGGGAUUAGCUUUUUGGGGGGGUAACGGCGCACAAAGGCGACGAUCCGUAGCUGGUCUGAGAGGAUGACCAGCCACACGGGAACUGAGACACGGUCCAGACUCCUACGGGAGGCAGCAGUGGGGAAUAUUGCACAAUGGGGGCAAGCCUGAUGCAGCCAGGCCGCGUGUAUGAAGAAGGCCUUCGGGUUGUAAAGUACUUUCAGCGGGGAGGCGUUACCCGCAGAAGAAGCACCGGCUAACUCCGUGCCAGCAGCCGCGGUAAUUC